rnacentral:rRNA from 1 species
GGGUUGUGAGGUUAAGCGACUAAGCGUACACGGUGGAUGCCCUGGCAGUCAGAGGCGAUGAAGGACGUGCUAAUCUGCGAUAAGCGUCGGUGAGGUGAUAUGAACCGUUAUAACCGGCGAUUUCCGAAUGGGGAAACCCAGUGUGUUUCGACACACUAUCAUUAACUGAAUCCAUAGGUUAAUGAGGCGAACCGGGGGAACUGAAACAUCUAAGUACCCCGAGGAAAAGAAAUCAACCGAGAUUCCCCCAGUAGCGGCGAGCGAACGGGGAGGAGCCCAGAGCCUGAMUCAGUGUGKGUGUUAGUGGACGCGUCGGGCCAGGCCUGCGCUCCAGGGUGACAGCCGCGGACAGCACCAUG